GCUCACAGAAUCAUUUAUGUUGGAAAAGGUCCUUAAGAUCAUCAAGUCCAACCAUCAGCCUAAGACUACUCUCACCUCUUGUCCUGUCACUGGGCACCAGUGGGAAAGGUCUUGCUCCGUGGUCUUUCUGCCCUCUCAUCAGAUGUUUGCAAAUAUUGAUAGGAUUCCACCCAGCCCUCUCCAGGCUGAGCAGUCCAAGCUCUCUGGGACCUCGCUCUCUGGAUCACCUUGCUUGACCUGCUGGCAACUUCCUGACGCAGCACAGGAUGAUGCUGCCCUUCUUUGCUGUGGCACAUCACUGGCUUGUGUUCAGCUUGGUGUCCACCAGCACCCACAGGACUCUUUCUGCAGAGCUGUUUUUCAGACGGCUGGUCGCCAGCCUGUCCUGGUGCCUGGGGUGGUUCCUCCCCAGGGGCAGGAGCUGGUAAGUCCUUCUGACGAACUCCAUGAAAUCCUGUCAGCCCACUUCUUCAGCCUGUGAAGGUACCUCUGAAUGGCAGCACAACCCUCUCACACGCUCCUUCCAGCUUUGCACCUCCUGCAUACUAGCUGUUAGGUGCAUUCUGUCCCAUCGUCCAGGUCAUUAAUGAAGAUUUUGGAAAUGAUUGGACUCGGUGCUGACUUCCUGGGGCACGCUGCUAGGUACCGGCCUCCACCUAGUCUUUGUGCCACUGAUCACAACUUUCUGGGUCUGUUCAGCCACUUUUCAGCCCACCUCACUGUCUACUCACCCAGCCCGUGCUACUUCAGCUUGUCAGUGAGGCUGUUAGGGCAGAUAGUGUCAGAAAGUGAAGGUAAGCAAUGCCCGCUGCUGUCCCCAUAUCCACUGAGCGGGUCACCUUGUCACAGGAGGCUGUCAGGGCAGGUUGACUGAGGAUUUGCAAAAGGCCCUUCUGUAAAUCUAUGCUGACUCGUCAGCUGCCUUCUUGUCCGUGGUGAGUGGUGGUUCCAUCUCCUUCCCAAGGCCUGCAGGUCCCUGGAUCUGCCUUCCUGCCCUCACUGCAGGUAUGAGUGGCAUUUGCUUUCCUCCAGGCCUCAGGAAUCUCAUGAUGGCUGUGGCCUUUCAAGGACAGCAGCCUUGCGAGAACACCAGACACUUCCCUCGGCAUUACUGGGAGUGUCCUGUCAGCCCCCAGGCACUGCUCGUAUGUCUGUCCAGCCUUCUUCAGGGUUCUCUAGCUCGGACCUCUGCUGCGUAGCAGAUGUUGAAGGUUCUGAUGAAAGCUGCUGGUGGCCACAUAGCCUCAAAAUGGAGAUGACAUCCUGCUAUACCCUAUGUGCAAAAUUCUGCUCCUCACAUUGGAAUUCAAAGGACCACUGGAGGCAGUGCUGGCAGCCCCGAGGGAACCGGGCUGCUUGAAGUGGGGGGAGUUUGCCAGCACCGAGACUGUGUUCAUCUUAUUUACCUCUUCAUUUUGCACGAUGGGAAAGAGGCACCAGAAAAAAUCUGAUGUCUCCUUGUGAUAUUCAAGAAGCCUUUUCCUGUAUGAAAAGGAGGCAAGUUACAGGUAUUGUGAUGUCUUCAGGUUCCAGCAGAGGAGGUGGGAUCUAGUGUUGAGGAAAGUGAAACGUAGUGGAGCAAGGACGAUGGCUGCGAACUGGUGUGUCACUGAGGUCUUACCUCCCUUUUUAUCUGGUUUGUACUGGAAGCACAUUUUGUUUCUGCAUCUCCAAUACAAGUACCGGUAAACUGUAUUGAUAAGAAGAUUUGAGUUUGUACAUGCUGUAACAGGAAUCAGAGUAAAUGAUAUAUUAAAGUACCCCUUCUUGAUUAAAUCAUCAGUUUUGGACUCAAAUCUCUUAGAGCUAGAUGAAACAAAUAUGAAAAUAUUAUCAAGCACUAAAACAUGACAAAAGAUGAGAAAGUGUGGUUAUUCUGGUAUUUGAAGAAAAAACAGUAGUCAGGCUUGUGUUUAAGUUACAGUACUGAGACUGCAAUGUUGCACAGAAGUAUUAGUUACCUAGAGAAAACUGUAAGCCAGCAACAGGCUAGCUGAAAACUGAGGAAAUGCUAAUCAAUAGCGAAAAUUAAAACUGGAGAAAGAUUUCACCAUCUAUGCAGUUGAGCUGGAUGUUAUAAUGUAAAAUGCCUGCUUUAUUAAUGUUGCCUAAUGAAAAAUGAAAACCAGUGAAGGGAACAAAUAAUGAAAAAUGCACUCUGAUGUCAUGAGGUUUUCACACUGCACCGUAAUGUAGCACUGCUGAUUUUUUUUUCCCCUGGGGUUUCUGUUUCUAAUAAAACUGUUUCAAAUAAAC